GGGUUAAUAUUCAUAUACAUUUUUUUUGUAAUUUCGAUUGGAAUGAAGUACUUUAUCUUAGUGCGUAUUUCAUUGAGUGGUUGACCCUGAACUUUGUCAAGUUCGGGAACUACUUUAUUCGGCUGUAAUACACGUUCUAAAUGAUAUGCAUACAUAUCAGCUUUAUCUUGUUCACAGCGUGCCCAUGAUCAAUCCAUGCGGAUUAAGUUUAUUUAAGUAAGAUUUCUACGUUU